rnacentral:rRNA from 1 species
UACGUAGGGUGCGAGCGUUAAUCGGAAUUACUGGGCGUAAAGCGUGCGUAGGCGGUUCUCCAAGUCCGUUGUGAAAGCCCCGGGCUCAACCUGGGAAUGGCAGUGGAAACUAGGGGACUGGAAUCUGGCAGAGGGGGGUGGAAUGCCGCGUGUAGCAGUGAAAUGCGUAGAGAUGCGGCGGAACACCGAUGGCGAAGGCAGCCCCCUGGGCUGAGAUUGACGCUCAGGCACGAAAGCGUGGGGAGCAAACAGA